UCCUACGGGAGGCAGCAGUGGGGAAUAUUGCACAAUGGGCGAAAGCCUGAUGCAGCCAUGCCGCGUGUGUGAAGAAGGCCUUCGGGUUGUAAAGCACUUUCAGCGAGGAGGAAAGGUUACUGGCUAAUAUCCAGUAGCUGUGACGUUACUCGCAGAAGAAGCACCGGCUAACUUCGUGCCAGCAGCCGCGGUAAUACGAGGGGUGCAAGCGUUAAUCGGAAUUACUGGGCGUAAAGCGUACGCAGGCGGUUUGUUAAGCGAGAUGUGAAAGCCCCGGGCUCAACCUGGGAACUGCAUUUCGAACUGGCAAACUAGAGUCUUGUAGAGGGGGGUAGAAUUUCAGGUGUAGCGGUGAAAUGCGUAGAGAUCUGAAGGAAUACCGGUGGCGAAGGCGGCCCCCUGGACAAAGACUGACGCUCAGGUACGAAAGCGUGGGGAGCAAACAGGAUUAGAUACCCUGGUAGUCCACGCCGUAAACGAUGUCUACUCGGAGUUUGGUGUCUUGAACACUGGGCUCUCAAGCUAACGCAUUAAGUAGACCGCCUGGGGAGUACGGCCGCAAGGUUAAAACUCAAAUGAAUUGACGGGGGCCCGCACAAGCGGUGGAGCAUGUGGUUUAAUUCGAUGCAACGCGAAGAACCUUACCUACUCUUGACAUCCUCAGAACUUUCCAGAGAUGGAGGUGGUGCCUUCGGGAACUGAGAGACAGGUGCUGCAUGGCU
rnacentral:rRNA from 1 species